AGUCUUAAGUUUCAUUUAAGAUGAUGCCUGCCCAGUGCUAUAGUAAACGGCCGCAGUACCUUGACUGUGCUAAGGUAGCAUAAUCAGUUGGCUUUUAAAUGGAGUCGGGAAUGAAUGGACUUAUAGGGUAAAGCUGUCUCUUUUAUAUUUUAUUGAAUUUACUUAUUAGGUGAAAAUACCUAUUAUCAGAAAAAAGACGAGAAGACCCUAGGAGUUUUAACUAAUGGUUAGUUACUAACUGUAGGUUUUUGUUGGGGCGACAGAGGAGAAAUUCCAACCUCCUUUAUUUAUCUGCCGACAGAGUAUGAAAAAUUAAACUACCCUAGGGAUAACAGCGUAAUUCUUAAGAGCUUGCGACCUCGAUGUUGGACUAGGAAUUUGGUAGGCUAGCCGCCUGUUUAUAUUGUUCUGUUCGAACUAAUUUUCCU
rnacentral:rRNA from 1 species